AAUUUAUCAACAUAUAUUAAAUAUUUAAUAGUCUACAUAGUACUUAUUUAAAAACAGCAUUUAAAAUGUGACGCUCGUCGGUACUUGUCGAUAAACAGUAUUAAUUAAAAUACAUAGUCUGCAAUAUAACUGCACUCAUGCCUUAUUCCAAGCAACCGAUCAUAUUAUGUAUUACUUAGUUAAGACUUUCAAGAGUAUUUUCAAGGCACUCAAAAACUUACUGUCGAAUAAGGGGACAGCUAUUGGCGAGUGAGAAAGGUUGACUGCAUA